AUGGAAGAAAGGAAGGAAUAUUCCAUGACACGCUGGGCUCUGCUCUCCUCUCCCCUCACGAAACACUCCUGAGAAGUUCCCAAAUCACACUCGGGUUUCAGAAGCCACUGAAGCAGAUCAGACUAGGACAAUACUUCAAGUCACCCAAGGACACUAGGUGGAGAAGUCCCUCCCCAUGCUUAUCAAUGAGUGUUCAGGAGACCCAGCACAGAGGGAUCCAGAGCUGAAAGUCAGAAAAAUGUGAGAAUUCUACAAGAGGCUCAGAAACCAUUUUUGGUAACUUUACUCCAAAUAAAUACAGCAUCAGGAGCCAGGGUAUGGAUGUACAUGGAGAAUACACACCCCCAACUUCUCAGACAGGAUAAACUUUUUGCAA